GUACUGAUCUUCUAACAACUUUGCAGGGAGGAGUUUGAGGGCAAGCUCAAGGGUAUGUGUGAAACCAAGGUAUUAUUGUAACAAUUCAGUUUACUAUAUACCUUUGGGCAUGGGCAUAAAUAUCUUCAGCCUGCUUUUAAUCUCCUACUAAUUUUUGUAAUGUAUAUAUCGUGCUCAUCUAUAUUGUAUAACCAAAGUAAAAAGUUAAAGGAAUAUUCGAACAACAAGUUAAAGGAAUCUUCGAACAAAUUUGUUGGUUUUUUACUCUAUAAAUAGUGUAUACUAUUGAAAAAUAAACCAAGACCAGUUUCAUCAUUUCUAUUUUUCACAUCAUAUCUCGCUGUUUCUAAGAUACUGGUCCAGGAAGAGUGACAAAGGUAACAGGCUACAAGCAGUUACCGAAAGAGUGUCAAAGAUUCUUUUAUUUUACAUUUGUUUCUGCAUUUAGCUUGUUCUACUUUGUUUAUUCUUCUUGCUUUCACUAAAGUGGAAAAGGGGGAAAAUGAAGUCUCUGUUAUAUUGAUAUAUUUAAAGGCAUCUUGUGAUCUAAGAACUUGAUUAUCAAUGGUGUCGAUAGAAGGUGGGUGAGUCUUGGCCAGUCAAAGGUUUAUUUGUUGGACAUGUCGUAACGGAGAAUGUAAUUGCAGCUGCGGAGCAGGGCUGUGAAGCAAUCAAGCGUACAAACUACUCCUAACUACCUAUGUAGAGAUCCAUGCUAUGUAGCUUGACGUAUAUGCAGUGUACGCUCUAUGCAAGACUAUUUUUUGUUUUUAUUUUGUUUUUAGCUUCAUGCAUGCUUGGUGGCGGUUUGAAAAUGGCUGGUCGCGCUUUGCUGCACUAUGCGAUUGUGUUAGAACUUCAUUAUUAAGGUCCUCGAUCUUUCCUUGGAAAAUAGUUAUAUGAGCUACUAUUUUUCUUUUUUCCUUGGCGUUGAAAUUGUCAUAUCUUAAUGGAAAUUGUCAUAUCUUAAUGCAACACCUCGAUGGAAUGGUGUUUCUACAAUUAUACCAAAGCUGUUAAAUUUCAAGAAAUUGGAUGUGAGGGUGGCCCUGGUGUGGGAGGCGGCGCGGCCUCGGCAGAAGGACCAGACGAAGUCCAGUGUGGCAGGGAGCAAGAAGGAAGGGAAUUUUUUUUGGGUCGAUUGUUGCUGUUCUGGGUUGGUUACCACAUCAACUAAGUUGUGUUCUCCUUUAAGCUCUCGAUCUCUUGACGGCGCUGCUGCUACUGGUGACAUGGUUUGAAAUAGGGCAUCUUGGGUAAUGAUUUGAUUACCAAAGAUUUCGAUUUGCUGUGAAGGGCACGAUUAUUUGAGCACGGAGGGCAACAAAGGUGCAUGGUCUCAUGAAGAGGGCAUUCUUUUAUGUGAGGUUCAUGGAUAUCAUCUGAUGGAUAUUCUCAUAUUUCUAUAAAUGGAUAUCAUUGAUCCCAUCCAUAAGUUUACAAAUGAUCAUCCACAAGGUUGAGCGAGCUCAAGCAGCAAGCAGCCAAUAUGAGAAGACUUAGUAGUUCAUCUUUGUAUUAAGAUGCAACAAGCAUCUGCUAUGGUUUGUGAAACGGCACCAUUCUCUGCAAUGCAGCAAAAUAAUCUGGACAAGCUUUGCUGAUUUUUGAUGGAAACAAAUAAAGUAACGAGAAUUUAGAAUACUUUAUUUUGUGGCAAUCUUUGUG